CUCAUCUGCAGAGUUGUCUGUCUUUAUCCAAAACCCCUCCAUUGAAGAGAUGUGGAUCAACCAGACCGCUACUCUGGUGUGUAUGAUUGUGGGUACUGAUCUGAGCCAGGUCCAAAUCCACUGGCAGGUGAACGAGUGGGGGAAAAUCAAAACAAACAUGACCAAAAAACCGAGAGAGGAAAGAACCCGAGGCACAGUGAUCAGCCAACUCCAGACCAGUGUGGAGGAGUGGGCCAGUGGGGUGGAGUACACUUGCUCUGCCCAACAACCUUCUUCAACCUCACCAGUAUCAGCACGGACAAAAAGUACCAAAGUUCCAGUGGAGACAAAAGGUCCCAAAGUCAGACUGCUGCCCCCGCCAGAGGGAGAGACCAAGAGUGGGAACACGGUCACCCUCGAGUGUAUUGCUUCUGGAUUCUACCCAAACCAAAUAACCAUCACCUGGGAGAAAGGGGACUCUCUGAUCUCUUCCAACAUCAGUGUGAGACCAGCUGCUCUGGAACAGGCGGGGACUUUCAUUGCCAGCUACGUCCUGACCGUGAGCACAGAGGAGUGGAAGGAAGGCUCAGUUUUCAGAUGCACAGUGUCUCAUCCCCCCUCCAACACCAGCGUCAGGCUGGAUGUGAAAAACAUUCAAGAAAUCUGCACAGACUUGACAGGGGAGGAGGGGAAGGAAGAACAGGGACGCGUGGAUGGAGAUGACAAUCUGCCUACAGUUGCUGCCUUUGCCAUUCUGUUCAUCAUCAGUUUCCUCUACAGCACCUUCGUCACCGUUGUCAAGGUUCAGCAGUGACCAGCAGACACACGCCCCACACUCAGACAAGAAAUCCCCGUGUGGCUGCGAUGUUUGGAAAUGGAGACUCCAUCUCACUCACUCGGCAAUCCGAGGCUACUGCACUGCAACUGCUCAUUUCAGAAUAUAAACCUCUAGAUGCUCCUGGGAUGCCAGAUGGAAAAUGGGGGCACGGAGCCGGUUAGGUGGGUGGAGGGACAACAGUGGAUGAUACAUUGGGAAAAUGGCAGGAUAAUGUGACACUGGAGGGGGUAUAAAGGAGGGGAGAGGAAGGCAGCAUUAAGCCUUGGGAAUGGGAAACAGGGGAUGGGAGCUUUAUGAGUGAAGGAGAAGAGGGAGGUGAGGAAAUGGAUAUUAUUGUUAAGGAGCAAGAAAUUGAUGUGGGGGGUGAUUGUGGUGGAGGGUGGGGUCAGUGUCUUGUUCUGUCAUAUUUUGUAAAUCAGACGUUACGGAGGUCAUUGCCUGUAGCACUUCUUGCAUUAUUCCACUGGAGUUUAUUUCAUGAUUUGAAACUGUAUUAAUUAUAAACAAAGACAAUGAGAAAAUGAAGUGUCUGGAGUUGAUAAAACUGAGGGAAGCCAUUCAUCCCAUCUUAGUUCCCUCAUCACUGCAGUGACUUCACCUGCCUACAAGUACAAGUGGGUAUUGCAUCCCAUAAGACCAAAAGACAAAGGAGCAGAAGUCGGCCAUUUGGCCCAUCGAGUCUACUCCGCCAUUUCAUUAUGAGCUGAUCCAAUUUCCCCUUUAGUCCCAUUCCCCUCCGCUUCUCACCAUAACCUUUGAUGCCCUGACUUCUCAGAUACCUUUCAAUCUCUGCAUUAAAUACACCCAAUGACCCGGCCUCCACUGCCGCCCGUGGCAACAAAUUCCACAGAUUCACCACCCUCUGGCUAAAAAAUUUUUUUCGCAUCUCCAUUCUGAGUGGGCGCCCUGUAAUCCUCAAUUCAUGUCCUCUCAUACUAGACUCCCCCACAAUGGGAAACAACUUUGACACAUCCGCUCUGUUUGCCUUUCAACAUUCGAAAUAAUUCUAUGAGGUCCCCCCUCAUUCUUCUAAACUCCAAGGAGAACAGUUGAAGAGCGGUCAAACGUUCCUCAUAUGUUAACCCUCUCAUUCCCGGAAUCAUUCUAGUGAAUCUUCUCUGAACCCUCUCCCACGUCAGCACAUCCUUUCUUAAAUAAGGAGCCCAAAACUGCACACAGUAUUCCAAGUGAGGUCUUAAUGGUGCCUUAUAGAGCCUCAACAUCACAUCCAUGCUCCUGUACUCUAUUCCUCUAGAAAUGAAUGCCAACAUUGCAUUAGCCUUCUUCACCACCAACUCAACCUGGAGGUUAUCCUUAAGGGCAUCCUGCAUGAGAACUCCCAAGUCCCGUUGCAUCUCAAAACUUUGAAUUCUCUCCCCAUUUAAAUAAUAGUCUGCCCAUUUAUUUCUUCUACCAAUGUGCAUGACCGUACACUUUCCAACAUUGUAAUUCAUUUGCCACUUCUUUGCCCAUUCCCUCAAUCUAUCUCAGGCUCUCUGCAGACUCUCUGUUUCCUCAGCAAUACCGGCCCCUCCACCUAUAUUUGAUUCAUCAGCAAACUUAACACAAAGCCAUCUAUUCCAU